rnacentral:lncRNA from 1 species
UAUUGUUUUCACCUUAAGAUAGAGUACCAUAAUGUAGACUGUCUACAGCUUCUUUGUAGAUUAUACAAAUGUAUGGUUUCUAACAUUAUUAUGAAUUUUGUUCCAUGGUAAAAUAUAUUUGCAUUCUUAAUAGUAAUUAUCUGCAGAUGUUUUUCCAUUGUGUAUUAGAUUAAUGCAGGUGAAAGUAUUGCAUUUUAAUACCGAAUUCCUACAAUAGAUGAUUGAGUCUGUUACAGUUACUCAUAUUAAAUAUAAUUUGUAUUUAUUAUUUAAUCAAAUUUGAGAAUGACGCUGCAUAUGUUGACUUCAGGAACUACAGACUUAGCUGACGUCAAUCUCUAAAAGGCUUAAUAGACACGAACACACUUGUAUGGUAUGCACUCAAACUCAGAUUGCUGUUUCUUUUAAAAAGUCAUCAUUUGUAUUGACAUGCUUCUGUUCCUAGUUCCAGUUUGGAGGUUUUAUAAAGUUAUAAUAAUAAGUUAAUGUGUUCAUCUUCAUUAUUUUGCAUGUGACCUAAUCUGAAAAGUACAUGUAGUAUUUGACAUUGAUAUUUUAAUACUGUAGAAGCUAAAAUUAACAAUUCUUCUAUAUAAUAAUCUGGGUUCCAUAAAUGAGUUUCAGAGAACUUGUGAGCCCUUCCAAAAUUGUGUGUAGAGUUUGGAAUAUAUGCAUUUUUAUUUCUUAAUCUUUGAUCCAUCAUAAUAUAUGUAUUUUUCUAUAUGGUGUAAGAUUUAAGAGUUAAUUUUAUUUUUGAUCAAAACAGCUAUUUGUCUCAACACCAUUUAUUAAACAUUCUCCCUCUGGGUUUGUUUCUUUCUCUUUUAAGUGAUCAUACUAAGGCUGUUGUUCAGUUUACACCUUUUUAACAAUUAGAGAAUGGGUGCAGUCAUUUUAUUUUCAUCUUAAAAGAAGAGAGGAUAUGUUUUACCCGUGUAGACUCUGGGUAGUCCAUAGUUAGCAGGAGCAAUGAUAUGAGCUUUAGAUUAUUAAUUAGAUUUUUUUUUAAAGGCUUUUUUGGUUGGUUGGUUUGUUUUUGUUUUUUUGGUUUUGUUUUUUUGGGUUUUUUUUUUUUUUUUUUUUAGAUAAGUCUCAAUGUAGGUCUGGCUGUCUGGCUGUCCUGAAAUUUGUCCUGGAACUUGCAGUAUAGACCUGGCUGGCAUCCCCCAGAGAUCCACCUGAUUCAGCCUCCUCAGAGCUGGGAUUAAAGGCAUGUGUCACCACACCUGGACGUUGUUUCUAAUUUUAACAAUAACAACAAACCCCAAAACCCGAGUCAAAGACUUAAAAUUAAAAACAUACUGAAUUUUUUUUUUAAGAUUUAGAAUAUGUGAGUGUGAGUGUGUGUGGGGUGUGUGUGUGUGUGUAGCUGAGUAUAUGAUGUACACCUUAUACAUGUGUACACAGUGUCAACAGGCCAGAUGAAGGUGUUGACUCUCGGAAAACUGGAGUUAAUUGGCAGCCUUGGGCCACCCAGUGUGAGAGCUGGGAAGUGCGGGGUAUUAUUAGGUCGUGUAUUUUCUCCACUCGUUCAUCACUCCAGCACCCAGCGUUACCCAGUGUCACAAUAAUUUUGUUUGUGUUUUGAGACAGGGUUUCUCUGUGUAGCCCUGGCUGUCCUAGAACUCCUUAUGUAGAUCAGGCUGGCCUCAAACUUAGGAGAUCUGCCUGCCUCUGCCUCCUGAGUGCUAGGAUUAAAGGUGCUUGUCACCGCUAGCACACUGCCCAGCCAUAAAGAAUGUUUUAAUCUUUGCUACGUACUUUAAUUUUAAAAGGUAAUUUGUAGACCUGUGUAUAAUGGUCUUGUUUUUUUCUUCCUUUGAGAACUUGAGUGUUUUCAGUGGUGGGUUUGUGGGUGUGGGUGUGGUAAAACACAUAGAUAAAGGCAUAGUUUAAUUUAGAUAUGCAUAAAGUAAUAUCGACUGAUGACUUGUCUUUAAUGAUCCUUUGGGAAAUCUGUGGUAAGUGUGCAGCUGUAUCAAGCCAUGUGCUGCUUUAUCCUUGCCCUGCCCUGCAUGGGAACAGUUUGUGAAUAGAGCACUUUAGAUUUGGUAAAAAUACAAGGUAGGUAGCAGGGUGGAUGGGUGGGCAGGUAGAUAGUGAUUUUAAAUAUUGAAAUUGUGUUUUUAUAUUCAAUCUCAUUACACAUUUGUAAUCUGCCAAAUUGGGAUACUGCUGCCUUUCGUCUAGCGCCUCCUACUUUAUAAUAACUCUUGUCUCUGUAUAGAUCCUGCUUCAAAUCUAGACUCAGGAUGAAUAAAACUUGCUUAUUUUUAUUUGUAUGUCUGAGGAAAAUAGAGCUGCUUUGAAAGU